AUUGAACUCUGACGGCAGGCUUAACACAUGCAAGUCGAGCGAGCGGCGGACGGGUGAGUAAUGUCUGGGAAACUGCCUGAUGGAGGGGGAUAACUACUGGAAACGGUAGCUAAUACCGCAUACCAUCGGAUGUGCCCAGAUGGGAUUAGCUAGUAGGUGGGGUAAAGGCUCACCUAGGCGACGAUCCCUAGCUGUUCUGUGAGGAUGACCAUCCACACUGUAACUUAGACACGGUCCAGACUCCUACGGGAGGCAUCAGUGGGGAAUAUUGCACAAUGGGCGCAAGCCUGAUGCAUCCAUGCCUGGUGUAUGAAUAAGGCCUUCGGGUUGUAAAGUACUUUCAGCGGGGAGGCGUUACCCGCAGAAGAAGCACCGGCUAACUCCGUGCCAGCAGCCGCGGUAAUAC
rnacentral:rRNA from 1 species